rnacentral:lncRNA from 1 species
UCCUGUCGGGGUCAGGUCGAAGAGCCCUUACGGAGCCAGGGUGCGGCCGCGCCGUCAGCAGCAAGUGACCGGAGCGAGGGGCCGCCUCCCCGCCCCCGCCCCCCCCGCGCCCCCCGCGCCCCCCGCGCCCCCCGCGCCCCCGCCGCCCGCGGGCUGGUCUUCCCAGGCGGCCGUGGCCCUCGCUCAGCGCCGCUGGAGCGUCCCCCGCCCUCCACCAGUACGGCCACCCCCCAGUGCCGCCCGCCGCUGCGUGAGUCCGGGGAGCCGGGAACAGCCGGGUACCCCAAAGCAAAUCUGCUGAGCUGCUGGGCAUCGCUGAAGAGCUGGGGGAGGAGAUCCGACCCACCCAGGCGGGGAGCGAGAGCGCCGCGGGGGGCCGCGCCGAGGCCUCCUCCGCCGGGGACUGAGGCCUGGCUCCAGAGUGCUGGGCUCGGCCGGAAAGGACCGCCGGGUCCUAGCUGCCCAGCAGCGUGCGAGGUUCUCCGUCUUCUCCCAAGACCAGAAGACACAGCUCGUCUCCCCUGUUCAGAUGAAACUCUCGUUUUCAAAAUGGAAGACCAGGUGGCCAGCUGGAGUCCCCUGGCUUCUCCACACCCUCAGAAGCAGAGCUGGGGAGGCUGCUGGAUUCUGGUAGGCCCAGGUGUCAUCCCUGUAAGGUGAGUGUCCCUGGGCAGUGGCUUUGUCCUUCUGAGUCUCUGUUUUGUCACUUGCCAAAUGGGAUGGUGACAGCGCCUACCCCCUGGGGUUUGUUAGGCUGUGUGUAAAGCCUAACUGGUGGGGGCUUGGCACUUGGCACUUGUGACGGAAGCAUUUGAGUUUUAAGGUAAAAUGGAGCUUCUAGCUGGGGCACUCCCGGACUAUGGCUCUUGACUGCGUUACUCAGCUUCUUGCCACUUUGGCGCAUCAAUGGGUAUGUCAGCUGUUGAAAGAGACUGGGCAUUGCUUGGGGGUGCCGAUUCCUCAAGAACCUCACAUGAGCCUUGCAGUCUUGGGGAAGCGAUGGUCUGAGGUCUGAUAACUGCCUGAGAGGUCCGAAGCACCGGGGGCUGUGCUGGCAGCUAUCAAUCCCUGAAUUGUUGGGGAAAGGGUUGUCGUCUGUGGUGUUCUCUGGGGCAGCCUUUGAGAACCACCUUGGGAUCUUCUGGGGUCCUACCUUGAAGGACUUCUGCAGAGGCCUGGAGGUGGCUAGUUUACUGGGAUAAAUCUUGGGUCAUGAUGGAGAAGACCUCACCUCAGGAACUGUUGGGGGGCUGGGCGUGGUGGAGUGUGUCUCCAGUGAUUCAGCCAUGUGGGGUCAUGGGUUUUGGAAAAUGAAUUGAUUUUGAAUCUCAGCCCAGGCCCACGGGUCUCUGAAGCAAACCCCAGUCGGGGAUGUCUUCAAGAAAGCACGAGAAGAGAUCACAGCCAUGCCCUUGCCUUGGCCCCCUGCACACAGUGAGGCCACUGGCUGCCCUGGAACCUCGAGGCCCAGCUGCCAGCCUCGUGGCUGAGCUGGGCACCUUCAAAGGCCAGCUGGAGACCCAAAGCCUGGGCCACGUGUCAGGGGUGAUGUCACCUGGCACCAAGCCCAGACUUACAGGCACCGUCUUGGCCACCACCCGUCCUGCUGACACUUGCCCACAGGUGUGGGGUCUGCCCUUUAUAGCCCCACAGGCCAGCUCCCUCAGUGGUAAGGGCUGAGGCUGGGACAGCAGGAGACAAAGAGGCCUCUGCAGGGGAGGGCCAUGAGUCCCAGACGUGAUGAUGGCAGGGCACUACCCCUGAAGGGCUCUGAAGCUGUACCUGGUGAAGGGACCCCAUGAUCCUCACCUGCCCAGCGCGGUGGGGGGUGGGGUGGUGAGUACCGGCCUUCCCCGCCGUCCUUCCCACCCACUCUGCUCUGAGCCACUCGGGGCUGGUGGGGAGCAGGCAUGGAGAUGAGGGUGCAGGUCAGGAAUCCCUCCCCAGAGGCUGGGCUUCUGACUGGAUUGAUGAGGUGGGGCACAGCAUGCCGGGGAGUGGGAACAGCAUGGACAAAUCAGCCUGUGGGUGGUAGGGCCAGCAGUACCCUUUGUGGGCACUGACAAGCUUGAGCGACCUCCCUGUCUCACCGUCACAGCUGCAACUAUGGGCAUUGCUCUGCUGUCUCCCGUGUGCCCUCCUCACGCUCACUGCGGCCUGGGGGAGGCUGCUGCCAUCUUGGGGCUGGGACAGAGCAGGGACUGAGCUGGGCCUUGGCGAUGGGGACGCAUGGCUCUGGGGAGGCAGAUAGGGCUUUGGCUUUGGAGAAAGAGCUGGAACGCUGGGCCAGACAGAGUAGAGUGUCCUAUCUCCCUGUGGCUGGGGUAGGAGGUGACAUCCUGUGGUGGGAACUGGCUUCUGAGCAAGCCUUCCUGAGCUCCCUCGGCAUCAGCCCUGGACCUGCCAUAGUGUUUAUCCAAGGCCACCAGCUCCUUCUGUGAUGCUUGGCUCCCUGCCUCUGACGCGCAGUACCCAGUGUGGCCAGGAGGCAGGGACAGUGCCUGCUGGUGUCUGUAGGAGGUCCUGUCUAGAGCUGCCCCAGGGAUGCGAGGGUGCGAGGGGGCCUGUUCGUGGUGGAAUGAGGGGAGGAGGUGCUUCUAACCAGCUCCUGGGCCCCAGGGCUCUGU